rnacentral:rRNA from 1 species
GCCGGAGGGUGCUAGCGUUGUUCGGAAUCACUGGGCGUAAAGGGCGCGUAGGCGGCCUUGCAAGUCGGUUGGUGAAAGCCCGGGGCUCAACCCCGGAGGUGCGGCCGAGACUGCAGGGCUGGAGGCCGGAAGAGGAGGGUGGAAUACCCAGUGUAGAGGUGAAAUUCGUAGAUAUUGGGUGGAACACCGGUGGCGAAAGCGGCUCUCUGGUCCGGACCUGACGCUGAGGCGCGAAAGCGUGGGGAGCAAACAGG